GUUGGCGUUUGUCAGCAAGCCGGAAGCUGGCCCUAGACGGUGGCCCCGUGGGGACAAGUACCUCCCAGCCUCUCGUGCGCGCUCACAACAGCUUAGUUUUGACUCAGCAGUCAAUAGUCUCUCAGAUGUAACGCAUAGGGACAGGAGUUGUGAGGCUGCGCACUGCGCUAGGACGAUUUAAAAUAAAUGAAUAUAUAAGCGGGUGGAGGGAAAUGGGAUAAGGUGAAUCCUCCCUUGGAAGGUUUAUUUAGUGAGUAAAAUUGGAAAGGCGCACCUGGCGUAGGGAACAGCGAGUGCGAACCAAAGGAAGCGGGAAACGCGUCGCUUGAGGAAUGGGAGUAGCCACUGGACUGUGACGCUGGAAAGGAGAGACAUGCAGAAAGGACCGGCUAUUGUGACCACCAUUCUGGAGGCCAGCAGAACCUCUGUAACCUGAAUGCCAAGUGUCACAGCCAAUAUUCUACCAGGAUGGACUAAUCUGCCUUUGCUCCGGGCAUGCCACCAGCACUGGCAACCUUCAAUGCAUGGGACCCAGGCAGCCACUUUGGAGAGCAUGUUGCUUGCUGGAAACCCGCCUGUUUCCCUCCCCUGACCAAUUCGCUCCACUCACACAACCACCAGCCAUUUGCUCUGCUUUGCCAGGCCCAGGAGGGUGAAGAGACAAACCAGAAGCACCAAGAGCAGCAGGAGGACAUAGGCCAGCCACCUGCAGGAAGAAGGACCAAGAAGACAGUGAGCCUCAGGAGGCUAUCAGCACCCCCAAGUCACCCCAACCCAAUCUGGUCCUGUGACCUCCCUGCUGCCCGGUGACAUGGUACAUGGUUUCACAAGACCCUGGAGCGCUCUGCAGCAUGGGUGUGGAACUGAAGCACCUGGUAACUACCCUGACCACUUCACAUACAAGUUCUGUGCUUAUGGGCACAGUUGUCAGCCUCUGAAUCGGAUUCCCCAACUGUUAGGGUGUCAGUCACCUGUGACCUAAUUGAAUAUUUCAGAGGUAUGGUGCAUAGGUCUCAACUACUCAGUUAGCCAUGUAACCUGUUUGCCUCAGUUUCCCUACCAGUAACAUGAAGGCAUAAUAGGAUCAACCUCAAAAUCUGUUGCGAGGUAAAUGAAUGGGCUUGUGGAUAUAGUUAAUGUUAUAAAUCACUAUCCAGGGGGCUUUGAAUGCUACAUAAUAUUUACUUAAGUAAGUAACGCACCAGGACUACAGGGAAGGAUGCUUGGAAGGUCCCAAAUUCAGUGCUUGGCACACCGCAAAUGCUCAGCAGUAGUGUCAUUCUCAGCAGUUCCCAUGGAGCUGUGGUUUGCACCCUGAGUCCCUGUCCCUGACCACACUGCCAGGCUCACCUCCGUGGCCUCUCUAAUGUCAGACACUUUUCCAGAGCAUCUUCUUAGGAUCACGUUCACAGCCGCCACUACCUCCCUGUCCAAGCUCCCGGGCUCCCGGGCUCCUAGGAACCAUGACAGUGAACCUUCCUGCCUCCCACUGACUUGGUGCCCCACCACGCAUCCGCAGCAGGGAUUGUUUCAGCCCCAGGGUGCUUGUACCAAGGAGCAUGGCCUCCUGCUUGGGAAUAGGAGAUUCAGGAGUAUCAGCUCCAAGCAAGCAGGGAUGAAAUAACUCUAAGUAGGUGAAGACUGGCUGCUGAGAUGGAUGGCUGCCCCAGAGGGCUGCAUAGCUUGUCCGGUCCCCUCAAGUACCACCCUUUAGUAUGGCCCUUCUAAACACCCUGACACAAGCUGCCUGCCUGUCCUCAGACAAGCCCCUUCCUAUUUAAUUUGCUCCAAAGCACUCAUUAUCCACCUUAUAGGAAAUGUGUUUGCUUUUAAAAAAUAUUUUUAUUUUUAUAUGUACAAGUGUUUUGCUUACAUGUGUGUAUGUCUGCCAAAUGCAUGCCUGGUGUCUGCAGAGGGGAGAAGAAAGUCUUGGAUCCCACGGAACUGGACUUACAGAUAGUUGUGAGCCGCCAUAUGAGUGCUGGGAACUGAACCUAGGUCCUCUCCAUGCAUAGCACAGCAAGUGCUCUUAACCACGGAACCAUCUCUCCAGGCCUCCCCUCUCCCUUUUGAUGCUACUAUGAACAUAGAGCCUCACACAGGCUAGGUAGGCAACUCUAUCCUCGAAUCAUAUUCCCAGCUCUUCAGUAGUGGAUUCUAGGUAAGUGAGCCACACCCCAACCCUUCACUGGGGGGAUUCUAGGCAGAUGUUUUACCACUAAGUCACAUUCUCAAUCCUUUAUCAGCAGAUUCGAGGCAAGUGUUCUUCCAUUAUCACAUCCUCAGCCUUUUUACAUUUUAUUUGGAGACAAUGUCUCACUAAGUUAUUCAUCCUGGCCUUGAGAUCUGUAGCCCAAACAGGGCUUGAGUUUUCAAUCCUUUUACUGAGUCUCUGGAGCAGUUGAGAUUACAGGCCUAUAUUCCCAGGCCUGGCUUUGUGGGCCUAUUUUAUAUUGCUCUCCCAGCUGAGAAGACCCACUCCUACGCGGGAUUUCCUGUGUUAUCCACACUGCUUGAUAUAUCUGUAUUUUCCUGG
ensembl:antisense D030047H15Rik RIKEN cDNA D030047H15 gene